rnacentral:rRNA from 1 species
UACGUAGGGUGCGAGCGUUGUCCGGAAUUAUUGGGCGUAAAGGGCUCGUAGGCGGUUUGUUGCGUCGGCUGUGAAAUCCCCGAGGCUCAACCUCGGGUCUGCAGUCGAUACGAGCAAACUAGAGUGUUGCAGGGGAGACUGGAAUUCCUGGUGUAGCGGUGAAAUGCGCAGAUAUCAGGAGGAACACCGGUGGCGAAGGCGGCGCGCUGGAUCCCUACUGACGCUGAGGCACGAAAGCCAGGGGAGCAAACGGG